GUGCGUGACAGAAUGAAACUGUGUGCCAGCUGCGGGCCGGGCAGAGAGGAAAACGGCGCGUUUUCCCAGCAGAGCUCGGCCCGAGGAGGCCGGUGCUGCCGGGCCUGAGGGGCCGGGCCUGAGCGGCCCUCCCGGGCUGCAGGGCCCCGGGCUCGCCCCGCCGGGACCGGCAGUGUCUGAUUUUCCUCCGUCUGCAGGUGGGAGAGGCCUCAAAAGCACCAAGGCUUCAACCUGCUGAGUCCCAGCAGCCCCAUCUCCAUCAGUCCUUGUGGUUUUCAUGGCUGAUUUGGCCAAAACUCUGAAGCCACACCAAAAAAAAAAGACCAAAAUUACACCAUUUCCCAAAGAUGCCCUUUCCAGAUCUCCAAGGGAAAGGGACCAACACUUGCCACUUGAGAAGGAAAUUGAGGAGCCCAUUGCUCACUUCCCCCUCUCCAGAAAAACAACAACAAAGCUGAAGGGCAGCAAACAUAUUCCUUUUAAAAGUGGGAAAUGAAGCCACAGAAGAGUGAGGUGGGUGCAGGGAGCCUGUGCACCAGCUGAGUGGCUUUUCUUUUCAUCAUUUUGUAGGAAACUGGAAUAAAAAUGAAUCACAUUGCUGGGAAAAAAA